rnacentral:miRNA from 1 species
UUAAGAAAACCGGCACUAGAAAUC